rnacentral:lncRNA from 1 species
CCCCAUGGUUUAUUUACUUUAUAACUGAAAGUUUGUACUUCUUAAUCCCCUUCACCUAUUUUGCCCAACCUACCACCAGCUUCACCACUGGCAAUGACCAGCCUGUUCUCUGUGUCUAUGAGUCUGUUUCUCUUUUGUUUGUUCAUUUGUUUUGUUUUUUAGAUUCCACAUAUAAGUGAAAUCAGAUGAUAUUUAUCUUUCUCUGUCUGACAUAUUUCACUUGGAAUAACACCCUCUAUAUCCAUCCAUGUUGCUACAAAUGACAAGAUUUCAUUCUUUUUUACGGCUAAUAUUCCACUGAAUAAAUAUAUGCCACAUCUUCUUUACCAAUAUAUCCACCGAUGGACACUUAGGCUGCUUCCACAUCUCGGCUAUUGCAAAUAAUGCUGCAAUGAACAUAAGGGUGCAUAUUUCUUUUCAAAUUAGUGUUUUUGUUUUCUUCAGGUAAUACCCAGAAGUCAAACUGCUGGGUCAUAUGUUAGUUUUUAAUGUUUUUAGAAGCUUCCAUACUGUUCUCCAUAGUAGCUGCAACAGUAUACAUUCCCACCAAAAGUGCGCGAGGGCUCCCUUUUCUCCACAUCCUCACUAACACUUGACAUUUAUUGUCUUUUGAUGGUUUUGAUUUGCAUUUCCCUUAGGAUUAGUGAUGUUGAGCAUCUUUUUACAUGUCUGUUGGGCAUCUGUAAAUGUCUUUGGAAAAAUGUCUAUUCAGUUCCUCUCAUUUUUUUAUUGAAUUAUUUUUUUGAUAUUGAGUUGUAUGAGCUCUUUAUACAUUUUGGACAUUAACCCUUUAUCAGAUAUAUCAUUUGCAAGUAUAUUCUCCCAUUUGGUAGAUUGCCUUUUCAUUUUGCUGAUGGUUUCCUUUGCUGUGUAAAAGCUUUUUAGUGUGACGUAGUCUCAUUUGUUUAUCUUUGCUUUUGUUGCCCUUGCCUGAGGAGACAGAUCCAAAAAAUUAUUAAGACUGAUGUCAAACAGUUUACUGCCUAAGUUUUCUUCUAGGAGUUUUAUGGUUUCAGGGGGUAAGCUCCUUGAAAUUGGUUUCGGCAAUGAUUUUUUGGAUUUGACACCAAAAGCAAAAAUUAAAAAGUGGGACUACAUCAAACUACAAAGCUUCUGCACAGCAAAGGAAACCAUCAACAAAAUGAAAAGAGAACCUAUGGAACUGGAGAAAAUAUUUGCAAAUCUUAUAUCUGAUAAGAGUUUAAUAUCCACAAUAUGAGGAACUCAUACUACUCAACAGCAAAAAACAAAUAACCUAGUUAAAAAAUGGGCAAAGGACGUAAAUAGGCAUUUUUCAAAAGAGACAUGCAAAUGAUCAACAGGUACAGGAAAAGGUGCUCAAUAUCACUAACGCUCAGGGAAAUGCAAAUCAAAACCACGAUGAUUUAUCACCUCAUGUCCUUUAGGAUGACAUGCAUCAAAAAGAAAAGAGAGAACAAAUAUUAGGAUGUGGAGAAAAGGGAACCCUUGUGCACUAUUGGUGGGAAUAUAAAUUGGUGCAGCCAUUAUGGAAAACAGCAUGGAGGUUCUUCAAG